GGAUUUAGCUCAGUGGUAGAGCGCUUGCCUAGCAAGCGCAAGGCCCUGGGUUCAGUUCCCAGCUCCG
rfam:Rattus norvegicus chromosome 13, whole genome shotgun sequence.